rnacentral:rRNA from 1 species
UGAGGAAUAUUGGUCAAUGGGCGAGAGCCUGAACCAGCCAAGUAGCGUGCAGGAUGACGGCCCUAUGGGUUGUAAACUGCUUUUAUAUGGGAAUAAAGUGAGGGACGUGUCUCUUAUUGCAUGUACCAUACGAAUAAGGACCGGCUAAUUCCGUGCCAGCAGCCGCGGUAAUACGGAAGGUCCAGGCGUUAUCCGGAUUUAUUGGGUUUAAAGGGAGCGUAGGCUGUUUGUUAAGCGUGUUGUGAAAUGUAGGAGCUCAACUUUUAGAUUGCAGCGCGAACUGGCAGACUUGAGUGCGCACAACGUAGGCGGAAUUCAUGGUGUAGCGGUGAAAUGCUUAGAUAUCAUGACGAACUCCGAUUGCGAAGGCAGCUUACGGGAGCGCAACUGACGCUAAAGCUCGAAGGUGCGGGUAUCGAACAGG